rnacentral:sRNA from 1 species
AGGCAGUUACACUGUUAGGCAGCAACAGUGCUGAUGCUGGACUGUGGCAGGCAGAGGGUGCUAUCCUGACACACUUCACCUUAGUGCAGGAAACUUCAAUUUGGUGGAAGAAAGGCGAUUUCGAGGUGCCAAUCUGGGCGACACUUCCCAGUUAGAGAGUCAGCAAAAGGGAGAGGGCAAUUCCAAGAAGAGGGAAAAGCUUGUGCACAGUGUACCUCCUUUAUUCCUGAAGCCCGGGCGGUGCUUGACCUGGUCAACCAGUGCCCAAAACAGGUCCAGAAAGGAAAGUUCCAAGUUGUUGCCAUCGAAGGACUGGAUGCCACGGGUAAAACCACAGUGACCCAGUCAGUGGCAGAUGCACUUAAGGCUGUCCUCUUAAAGUCACCACCCUCUUGCAUUGGCCAGUGGAGGAAGAUCUUUGAUGAUGAACCAACUAUCAUUAGAAGAGCUUUUUACUCUUUGGGCAAUUAUAUUGUGGCCUCUGAAAUAGCUAAAGAAUCUGCCAAAUCUCCUGUGAUUGUAGACAGGUACUGGCACAGCACAGCCACCUAUGCCAUAGCCACUGAGGUGAGUGGGGGUCUCCAGCACCUGCCCCCAGCCCAUCACCCUAUAUACCAGUGGCCAGAGGACCUGCUCAAACCUGACCUCAUCCUGCUGCUCACCGUGAGUCCUGAGGAGAGGUUGCAGAGGCUGCAGGGCCGGGGCAUGGAGAAGACCAGGGAAGAAGCAGAACUUGAGGCCAACAGUGUGUUUCGCCAAAAGGUAGAAAUGUCCUACCAGAGGAUGGAGAAUCCUGGCUGCCAUGUGGUUGAUGCCAGCCCCUCCAGAGAAAAGGUCCUGCAGACGGUAUUAAGCCUAAUCCAAAAUAGUUUUAAUGAACCGUAGUUAUUCUGGCCAGGUGCCAUGUCUAACUAGAUUAGAUGUUGUUUGAAACAUCUACAUCCACCAUUUGUUAUGCAGUGUUCCCAAAUUUCUGUUGUACAAGCAUGUUGUGUGGCAGAAAACUGGAGAUCAGGCAUCUUAAUUUUACUUCAGCCAUCGUACCCUCUUCUGACUGAUGGACCCGUCAUCACAAAGGACCCUCUCAUCAUGUUCCAGUGAGAGGCCAGUGAUUGCUUUCUUCCUGGCAUAGUAAAUAUUUUCUUGGAACAUGUGUUUCACUUAAUCACUACCAAAUAUCUGGAAGACCUGUCUUCCUCAGACAGCACCAGGUGUACAGAAGCAGCAGAGAAGAUCUUCCAGAUCAGCAGGGAGCCCCCAGCGCCUCUCCUUCUCCUACAGUGGCAUGCUGAUGAGAUCGUGACGUGCCCACAUUGGCGUCUUCCACAUCUGGUUGCACUCGUCAUGAUGGGCUCGCUGCAUCUCCCUCAGUCCCAAAUUCUAGAGCCAAGUGUUCCUGCAGAGGCUGUCUAUGUGUCCUGGCUGUCCAAGGACACUCCCGCAGAGCCAUUUUUGGGUAAGAAACACUUACAAAGAAGGCAUUGAUCUUGUGUCUGAGGCUCAGAGCUCUUUUGAUAGGCUUCUGAGUCAUAUAUAAAGACAUUUAAGCCAAGACGCUCCAACUGCAAAUAUACCAACCUUCUCUGAAUUGUAUUUUGCUUAUUUAUAUUCGUUUUCUUUUUUUCUAAAGUAUGGCUCUGAAUAGAAUGCACAUUUUCCAUUGAACUGGAUGCAUUUCAUUUAGCCAAUCCAGUAAUUUAUUUAUAUUGAUCUAUACAUAAUAUGUUUCCUCAGCAUAGGAGCUAUGAUUCAUUAAUUAAAAGUGGAGUCAAAACGCUAAAUGCAAUGUUUGUUGUGUAUUUUCAUUACACAAACUUAAUUUGUCUUGUUCAAUAAGUACAGUGGAUCUUGGAGUGGGAUUUCUUGGUAAAUUAUCUUGCACUUGAAUGUCUCGUGAUUACAUAUGAAAUCGCUUUGAGAUAUCUUUAGACAGAAAAAAGUAGCUGAGUGAAGGGGAAAUUAUAGAGCUAUGUGACUUUAGGGAGUAGGUUGAACCAGGUGAUUACCUAAAAUUCCUUCCAGUUCAAAGGCAGAUAAAUCUGUAAAUUAUUUUAUCCUAUCUACCAUUUCUUAAUAAUACAUUACCCCCAAAAUAAUUCAAUUUAAGGCUUUAUCAGGUUUGCAUAUAGAAUCUUAAAUUCUAAUAGAGUUUCAUGUUAAUGUCAUAGGAUUUUUAAAAGAGCUAUAGGCAAUUUCUAUAUAAUAUAUCUAUGUAUAUUAAAAUGUAAUGGAUUUCAUUUGAAAGUAUUUUAAAGCUGAUAAAUAGCAUUAGGGUUCUUUGCAAUGUGGUAUCUAGCUCUAUUAUUGGUUUUAUUUACUUUAAACAUUUUGAAAAGCUUAUACUGGCAGCCUAGAAAAACAAACAAUUAAUGUAUCUUUAUGUCCCUUGCACAUGAAUAAACUUUGCUGUGGUUUACUAAUC